GUCCACGCCGUAAACGAUGAUAACUAGCUGUCCGGCACUUGGUGCCUGGGUGGCGCAGCUAACGCAUUAAGUUAUCCGCCUGGGAGUACGGUCGCAAGAUUAAACUACAAAGGAAUUGACGGGGGCCGUGCACAAGCGGUGGAGCAUGUGGUUUAAUUCGAAGCAACGCGCAGAACCUUACCAGCGUUUGACAUGGAUAGUUUGGUUUCCAGAGAUGGAUUCCUUCAGUUAGGCUGGCUAUCACACAGGUGCUGCAUGGCUGUCGU
rnacentral:rRNA from 1 species